CAGCCAUUUUUCUACACAGAACGCUGCCAUGGCCACUGAGAACUCCGAAAACCCUCCGGCACCGCCUCCGCCAGCUCCCUCUCUCCCGCAGUAUCCAGAGGUACACAAAAGUUUUCCUCCAUUUUCUUUUCUCGCCACCCAAACGGCUUUUCCCCACUUAUUUUCGCUUAAUUUUCAGCUGGAUUUUGCUUAAUUUUUCCUGAUUUUUCUUUCUCCAGAUGAUUAUGGCGGCGAUCGAGGCGCUGAACGACGGCAACGGGUCUAACAAGUCGGCAAUCGCAACGUACAUCGAGUCCACGUACGGCGAUCUACCUCCGGCUCACGCCACACUUCUGGCUCACCACCUCAACAAGAUGAAACAGAGCGGCGAGCUCGUCCUGGUCAAGAACAACUACAUGAAGCCAGACCCGAACGCGCCGCCCAAGAGAGGCAGAGGCCGUCCUCCCAAGCCCAAGGUCCCGCUCCCACCUGGAACCGUUGUCUCGCCUCCCAGGCCACGUGGCAGGCCCCCGAAGCCUAGAGACCCGUUCUCUCCGCAAGCGGAGCCCAAGAGCCCUUCUGGGACUGGAAGGCCACGUGGACGCCCUCCCAAGAAGGCCAAAACGGCAUCGGCUCCUCCUCAGGCUCCAGCUCCGGCUCCGGCUACUGGCGCGCCCAGAGGUAGAGGCAGGCCUCCUAAAGUGAAGCCCGCUGUGGCCCCGGUCGGCUGUUGAGUUUAGCUCAGCUCAGAUAGUGAGAAAGAGGGAGGGAGUGUUAAUUUUUAUUUAAUUUAAUUUAAUUUUAGGUGUGUUUAGAAUUUAGUUUCCGGAUGAUCGAUGGUUUAGUUUUUGUUUUUUUUGUUUUUUUUAUUUUUUUUUAAUGUAGUAUGUGGUUGGUUGGAGCAGUGAGGUUGGGGGUGGUCUUAUCAAAAUGUGACUGUAAUUGCCAUGUAAAUUGUUUAGCGGCUACUUAGGCUUUUCUGCCUUUUGCCUCUCUGGCUACAAAAGGGGGUUAAUUAAAAUGAGGCUGAUUCUGAUUACUUUAUCACUUUUUGGGUU
rnacentral:lncRNA from 1 species